GGCCCAUUAGCUCAACGGAUAGAGUAGCGCUCUCCGAAGGCGUUGAUCGGGGUUCGAUUCCCCGAUGGGUCACCA
rnacentral:tRNA from 1 species